UGGGGAAUAUUGCACAAUGGGGGAAACCCUGAUGCAGCGACGCCGCGUGAACGAAGAAGGUAUUCGUAUCGUAAAGUUCUGUCCUAUGGGAAGAUAAUGACAGUACCAUAGAAGAAAGCUCCGGCUAAAUACGUGCCAGCAGCCGCGGUAAUACGUAUGGAGCGAGCGAUGUCCGGAAUUAUUGGGCGUAAAGGGUACGCAGGCGGUUUAAUAAGUCGAAUGUUAAAGAUCGGGGCUCAACCCCGUAAAGCAUUGGAAACUGAUAAACUUGAGUAGUGGAGAGGAAAGUGGAAUUCCUAGUGUAGUGGUGAAAUACGUAGAUAUUAGGAGGAAUACCAGUAGCGAAGGCGACUUUCUGGACACAAACUGACGCUGAGGUACGAAAGCGUGGGGAGCAAACAGG
rnacentral:rRNA from 1 species